AUGCCAGACUCCUACGGGAGGCAGCAGUGAGGAAUAUUGGUCAAUGGGCGGGAGCCUGAACCAGCCAAGUCGCGUGAGGGAAGAAGGCCCUGCGGGUCGCAGACCUCUUUGGACGGGGAGCAAGGGCGGGGACGUGUCCCGGCCCGGAGAGUACCCGGAGAAAAAGCAUCGGCUAACUCCGUGCCAGCAGCCGCGGUAAUACGGAGGAUGCGAGCGUUAUCCGGAUUUAUUGGGUUUAAAGGGUGCGUAGGCGGGCUUUUAAGUCAGCGGUAAAAAUUCGGGGCUCAACCCCGUCCGGCCGUUGAAACUGGGGGCCUUGAGUGGGCGAGAAGAAGGCGGAAUGCGUGGUGUAGCGGUGAAAUGCAUAGAUAUCGCGCAGAACUCCGAUUGCGAAGGCAGCGUACCGGCGCCGGACUGACGCUGAGGCACGAAAGCGUGGGUAUCGAACAGGAUUAGAUACCCCAGUA
rnacentral:rRNA from 1 species